CACACGAAAAGAAGCCCAGCGACAGUCAGGGCAGCCAACAGUGCCGAGCGCACCUCUACAGAUACACACAUAGAGAGUAGUGCAUCCCUUCGCACACCCACACGCAGGAAUAGCGUCAUAAACGCAUACACAAACACACACAUAUAGAGAUAGCAAGAGAAGGCCCAAGGCCUCUGUGUUCGUCUUUCCGACCCUUCGCUUUCCUCUCUCCUUCCCGUCCACGAGCCUCACAUCACGUUGCUGAGCACGCCUCUGUGUCACACCCACACUCACCCACGUUCACUUACGUCUGUCGCUGCUGGCGCUGCGGGGACUUUUUUGUCUUUGUUGCGAACGCUCUUCCCUCCCCCCCGCCCUGUCCGUGCGUGUCUGUAUGUGAGUGUGUGUGUGUGUGUGUGUAGCUAGCCAUGCUUCGCGCUACUACUCUUGCUCGCGGCACGCUUGUAAAGAUCGGCCGCGGCCCGAACAACGUAACGGAGUCGGCCAGCAACGCCCUUCUCGAAUCCCUACAAGACCACGGCUACUGCUAUAUCCAGCACCCCUUCAUUCAGAAGACCAUCCUCGAUCAGCUUCACCGCGAUUGCCGCAUCUUCUUUGAGCAGUAUGUCCUGCACCUGCACGACGCUGCUGCGCAGGGCAGCCUGAAGCGCAACAACCUGCACAACUACAACUGCACACAACUCUCCCCGUACGAACUGGAGAGCAUAAAGUCCCCGAGUGGGUUCCGCGGCUACUACCGCUACGUCGGCGCGAGCGGCAUCGAUGACGCUAUCGAGUGCUUCUCCGUUGGCCGCGACGACGUGGCUGACCCGGCAGUGCUGCGGCGCGACUACUACAAGCAAGCCGGUUGGGAGGAGAGCGAGUACCUGAGCAUGAUUAGCCGUCGCAACCCGUGGGACAUCUUGCUGAACCACGUCAACUCAAUCCCCGCAUCCGGCAGCGGCCUCGGCCCGGGCAUGGACCGCAACGACAACUUCAUGUCCGACUUCAAGGACAUGAUGAUGGCCUACUACGACCUCUGCUACACGGUGAGCAUGGACGUGAUGCGGCACAUCAGCUGCGGCCUCGGUAUCCGCCCCUCCAUCCCGCAAGGCGGGCCGGACCCGACGAUGGACUUCGAGCUUGAGUACUUCACGUCGUUCCACCAGAAGCGCGACUGCGACUUGCAAGCCAAGUACUACCCGCAGCUCGGGGAAGGGGCGCGACUCAAGAACGGCGUCGACAUCCAAAAUCAACGGUCGGCGCACAACCCGGACGGCGUGAAAGUGCUCCGGCGCAAGGGAGCCAAGAUGCAGCCUCUGGUGAGGACGGCGAGCGCCGAGGACGGCGAUGAUGACAAGGACGUGACGGUGCGCCUCGACACGCACAAAGACCUCAGCACCAUCACCCUGCUCUCCCAGGACUCGCUUGGGGGGCUGGAGGUGUGGGACGACGAGAAGGGCUCCUACAUGGCCGUCCCGGUGCUCGAGGACGCGCUUCUCGUGAACGCCGGCUUGUUCCUGGAGAAGUGGACGGGUGGCCUCAUCGAGGCAACACCCCACCGCGUGCGCAACGCCAAGGGCGGCAGCAGCCGCUGCAGCAUUGUCUUCUUUGCCCUGCCCGACCACGAUGCCCGCAUCGAGCCGCUCCUGCAGCAGGAGGACAAUCCGGCAGUGGAUGCGCAGGACAGCUUCCUUGCAGGUGACAUGAUGCCCGCCCCGUAAGACGGAUAGGUGGAGGUGCAGUAGCGGCAGCGCCAGCGCUUUCUCUGCCUCAACGCCGUCAAUGUAGAACGUGAGCUGUGGGGUGGAGUGUGCAGGGCUCCACACAGAGAAGUCCUGCUCGUGCAUAAGUAUGCCGCAUUACAAGAGGGAGCGGCAGGUGUCUUUUCCUUUCCAACCACGGACGCCAGCAGCCCCCACCACCAUCACCCCUCUCUCUGUCUCUCUGCCCUCGCCCUCCCUGCAGUGCGCGGGGGCCUGUGUGAGCCUCCAAAUUUCCAUAGAAAGAGUCAUAGAGAUCGAAACGUCGGCAAUGUCACCAUCGCCCUGUCGGUGCGGCGUGGCCCUCGUUCUCCUUCGUCGUUGUUUGAAAAUGUAUGUGUAGGUGCAAGUGUGUCUGUGUAUGUGCAUGCGCAGGUCUUGGCACAUCAGGAAACGAGUGGUAUUACUGGCUGUCUGUCUGGUCCUUGGUUGGCUUUCGUUAUGCUCUUUUUUUUUUGUGUGUGUGUGUGUGCGUGGCGUCGCGGCGCGCGGUGAGACUAUCCGGUUUCUCUUCUCGUGUUUCCUCGCACGCGAAGGAGACGACGUGAG
rnacentral:misc_RNA from 1 species